AUUGAUUUAGCUAGUGCGAUUGGCAAAUUCCAGAAGAUCAAGGGGAAAAAAGUGCCUUUGUGACACUCUGGGAGGACGUAUUAGGGGAGACUUAGGACUGGAAGGGCUGUCCGUGUCAACCUGCAAAGGAAAUACGAUUUGCAACAGUGGAUCAAACCAUUGGUCCAUCUAGUAUCCUGUCUCUGGCAGUGGCCAUUACCUGAUGCUUCAAAGAGAGGUACACCUUCCACUCCUGACACUGGGACGCUGCUACGGAGCUCCAGCUCAGGCCGGGGAUGGUUGAGAAGGAGAGGGGGUUGGGUCGUGCGCGUGAUAGAUGAGGCACUAACAGCGCUGCGAGACAAGCACUGUGCAUGCAUGACCCACACAGACACGGCUGCUAAAAUUCUCCGAUCAAUGGCACAGGGGCACUCUAACCCCUGAAGUGGAGCACCCACAGGGGGACACAUCUUGAAGAACCUCAAUCAUUGUACAAGGAACCACCACCACUUUUCAUCUAUAGUCACCUCUGCCUGGAGACUGGAAUGAAGGGCUUUAUAUAUUUGUUUCCUGAAGAUGGCAGCAAUGUCUUUACUAUGCAAUACACCCAGCUUCAUGAGGCUGUUUUGUAGCAGAGAUACAGUACCAACUGUUCAUUUCCACUGCGGCUGAGGAUACAUAUGAGCAUGUAAGAGGUUCACAAAACAACGCUUCCUCUGUUGUGAAAUGGCACCAGGGAGCUACAACAGGCCUUUCCAUCAGGGAAAAUGUUCUUUUCAUUUUAAUAUGACAGGCAAAAUAACUCACAAGGGCAAUCAUACAUAUUGUGCAUGGUGUGUACUGUUCCUUGAGAGAUUUCCUCAGAAAUACAAUGGUAGCAGAGCAGUGUGCAGAGUUAGCACUAAUGAGCUAUGCAUUACUAUUAUGUUCAUUUCACAUCACUCAUGUAGUGAGAUUUGAGUCCCAGGCCUGCUGCUUGGAUGAGUGUUCAUUGCUGAAGCUAAAGUGACAUUUGCAUCCAGCAGGUAAAAAGACUGGUGCUUUUGUGAGUGGAGGUGAUUAAAUCUUCAGGGCAAUGAAAUGAAAGCAAAGGAACUCUGAACCUCUGACCUGAGCAAAGUAUGUGAGAGCUGCAAUGUGGAGAAUCACUUCUGCCACUAUGUAUAGAUAAUGCCUGACUCUUCAGAACAUUUUAAAAUGAAUUUACUGCCGGAGUGACAACACUGGGGACUAAUUAUCAAUGCAGCAGGUAUAGCUUGAGCAAGUUUCCUCACGUUAUCCCACCAACGUGCCUCGACCCUGACUUGGAGAGAUGAUUUUUCAUGCCCAUUACAGCCACUGACUUUCUGUUGAGGCUGAAAAUAAGCGGAGCAGGUGCUGCAAUGGAUUUGGCAGGAGGACAUCUGUCUGCUAGAAAAUUAUCUGAAAGUUCAGUACCAGUGCUUGGAAAUAUUUUCUGGUCCUGACAGACUUUCUACUGGUCCACGUGUUGGGCGGAGGAGAAGGGGAAUGCAGUUCAUAUGUUAUGGAUUACACGACAAAUUCAACCCCUACUUUUCUAUUCAAGGUCUGCUUAAAAUCUAUGAUGUAGAAAGUGAAACACCAGGAAUAACAAAGGGCUGCAAUUAAUCUAACAGCAAUAACAUAAAAUAACCUGAACAGAAGUUUUGGAAAUCACAUACAGAAACAAAGAGCAACCAGAAGACAUUGACACAGUAUGAGAAUAUAAGAGUCUGCUACAGAGUUUGCACAAAGCUACUAUGCCCAGCCCUUUAACAAUUUAAAUUAUUAUAGGAGCAACCAUCACUGCUGGUAAGGGUCAUUUCCAUCAAAGGCUUCAAGUGAGUCUGUCCAUAAGCAAAAAUUAAAUUUUAGAUUUUCAAGUGAUAUAACAACGGGUAUUACAAAUAAAAUAAUAUCUUCUCAUUCAUUUUCAUGCUGCACACAAAGGCAGAUACAUACUAUGGUAAUAGGUGCUUUAAAAAUGCUGUAGAUGCCCAUUCAUUUAAAUACAUGCAGACUUCUGACCCCUGUGAAAAUGAUCAUUGACAAUCUAAUACCACAAUAAUUACUGAGGAGAAAAAUAAAAGAUGACUUUUAUCUGAUUAUAUUAAGGAAUCACUUACCUGAAAAUAUCAUUUGGACUUGUCAGAAGACAUCCUCACCUGCUCAUGUCAUGCAGACUAGGAAGCUUCAUAUUUCAAUGUAAAAAAUAAAAGAUGAUACCAUCUCCUAAUGAAUGAAGUAGUUCCACUGUGGAGAGUUUGCUGCUAAUGUUGGAAUUCCUUUGGAGGAAUGAAGAAAGACAGACUAGGGAGGCGUGUCUUCCAGCGAUGUAAAAUAAAGGGCUUGUUCUCCUUUAUGAAAUACCAUUGCAAACGCAAAGAAAGCUUAUUAGUUAUUGAGCCAUUUGCUUUCUCAGCAAGCAGACUGAAUGGCUGGCUGGUAUUCCAGCUUGCUUUUCCAUCGAGUGCAGAUACAGUUUGUCUGGCACAGUUCUAUUCAAAUGCUACAGAGGAUCACUGGCUGUUCUAGUUUGCUGGGAACAAAACAGCAACAAGCUCCACGGCUGCACAUCUUUGUUAGACUGCCUAAUGCUCUGUUUCAAGGAAGAAUGCCCCUGCUCUGAUAUAUCAUUUAGCUUUUAGCACGCAGAUGGGUUUUACAAACCUAGCUCCUGAUUCCAUACCUGUAAGAAUAGUUAUACCUUCAUUUGGUUAUUGAUAGGACUAUUAAAAUUCUUGUCAGAGAAAGGUAUGUAAAAUGAAAUACUGACCCUAUUCUCUUCCUCUCUUUGGAGUCAAAACACCUCCUAGAUUUUAUUAUUCUCUUUGGUGAUAACUUUAUGAUUUAUAUUUUAUCAGUUUGAUUUUUUUUUUAAAUACUGAAAACACAGAUCAACCUCCUGAUUCUUAAUGCCAACUUGGUAAUAUUCUUUUUUUCCUGUUACGCGAGCAGUAAGGAUGGGUGAAUGGAAGAAUACAUUGGUCAAGCAGCGCAAAUAUUGGCCUAGUUAAAGAAGCUAAGUAUUCCCCAAAAGGAAUAGGAAAAAAUAAUAGGCUUUCAGACACGUGUGCACCAAGAUGGGUCUCAGUGUUAGAGGACUGCACUGACAUGAGAGAAUCCCAGCCAGUCUAUGUCUGGAUAUAGAGUCUAAGUCAUUCCUCACUUAUUGUGGGUGCUGGAAUAGCCCAGGCAAUUUGCACCCUCAGUCUCCUUAGAAAAUUCAUUCUUGCUGUUUUGGGAGAGGAGUGGGGAGAAAAGGAGGUGGUGGAAGGUGAGGACCAGGUUUGGAACAGUAAGCACCAAGUCCAAGUGGUGUCCGUUCAGGAAGUAAACUGAAGCUAGCCAUGUCUGCAGGGGCCUGAGGCAUAGCCUUGUGAGCCAGACCAUGUAUGUGCACGCGACUAUGUGUCCCAGUAGCUUGAGGCAAACCUGGGCUGUCAUGAUUGGUUGGACAAUGACCUUGGCGAUCACGUCCAACAUGGUCUGGAACUGGGCCUCCGGAAGGCAGGCUCUGGCUUUGGUUGAGUUGAGCAGUGCCCCAAUAAACUUUAUUCUCUGAACUGGAAUAAAGGUCAACUUUUGCUCGUUUAUCAAUAGGCCCAGCACUCAAAAGGUGGCUUGGACCAGGCUGAUGCUGUUCUUUACUUGAGCCUCUGAAUGACCCUUGAUCAGCCAGUCAUUGAGGAGUACUGUCUCAGACACAGAGCCAAGAAACAUGGCAGCUGUUGAGGCCUGAAGUGCUUCCUCGAAGUGGAUGGAGGAAGAGGCCCAGGGACCUGAGGGUAGCCCUUGAGUCCUCAGGCCAUGUAGUCUCAUGUUUGUCUGCUCUGAAAAUAGUGAGGAGCCUUUGAAAGGGAGGUCCUGGAUAGACUGCUGGAUCACCUGAGCGAGUCCUGAUGACUGCAGCCAAGAGCAUCAUCUCAUGGUGACAACAGAGGCCAUUGUCCUGGCCACCAUGUCUGCUGCGUCCAGUGACCCCUGGAGAGAGGCUCUGGCAACAUUCUCUCCUUGUUCUAAGAUGGGUGAAAAUUCCUGCCAUAAGUCUUGAGACAUGGAGUCCUUAAAUUUAGACAGAGUCCCACAAAUUGUAGUCGUAUCUCCACAAUAAGGCUUGCUGGUUUGAGAUGCAUAGUUGUAGACCGCCUGUCAAGUAAACUUU